UUCAUGCAUGGACCACCAGCAAAGGGUGCACAAUGUGUGCCCUAAAAGUCAUGAAAAUUUCAAAAAAAAAUCUGAGUAAAUUCAGUGCAAAAAAGAAAGAGUUUUGGAUUUCUAAAACUCUAUCUCAUAGAAUUUGAAAUCCAAACUUAUUCCUACUUUGAUUUGAUCCACAACUACUUUCCAUGUAUGAAAGAAGAGAAGAAACCUUUUGGAUGUAGGAA
rnacentral:lncRNA from 1 species